CCAAGUUCCACAGCUCAGUGAAAACAGUGGAAUCAGUUGAAUUUCUUAAAUGAAGAAUACAGCAGGGAAAAAAGAAAAGGAUGAAGUUCUUUGGAAAAACAGUUAAUUUUUCUCUCAUUGUUAAGACAUCACCUUUACCUUGAAGCCAUUUCCAACAUGGAAGAUUUUUGCCUUUUGCUCUUAAGAAGAGGCCUCUGAACAUUUAUUACUAAAUUUAGGGAAGUACAGG